rnacentral:tRNA from 1 species
AGUUAAAAACUUAAGAAAGUACUAUGUUUUGAAAGCAUAAUUAAGAGGUUUAAACCCUCUAUUAACUU